ACCUCUCCCGUGCGCCGCCGCCAAUCUUCCUACCUCCCCCAUCGUUCCGUCAACCUCCGAGCCUCACAUCGGCCAGAUCCGUCCGCAACAACCUCUUCUUCUAUCUCCCCUCGUUCGUGCCGGUCGGAUCUCGCGACCUCAAGAUGCCCCAGGUUGCGCCUGACGCCGACGGCUUCAUCAGGCUCGCCGAGUUCGUGGCGCUGAACGCUACCGUUGACGGGGACGACGCCGCCGUCGUGGAGGACCUGCGGCUCGCCUUUGGGUCCUUAGACGUCGACGGCAGCGGUGCCAUGUCCUCCACCGAGCUUGCACACGUCCUCGACUGCCUCGGGUAGAAGGCCACCGGCAUGCAGUGCCGCCGCAUGGUUGAGGGUAUCACCAAGAACUACGCCGGACUCAUACGGACACAUAUCCUUGAUCCUUCGAGGACUUCAUGGUCAUAGUGGCCUGAUGCUGCACCGUUUUCGCCAGAUCUGAGGCUGCAGUGAGGGGUUCAGCAAGUGAAGCACCACAACGUCAAACAGAGUAGCAGACAUCCGUGGGGAAUUUCCAUGAAAGGUUUAAUUCAGGCAUCAGGGCAAUUGUUAGUUCAACGAUUGUUAAUUCUGCACAUGUAUAUAUGAGCAGCGACACCAUCUCUGCACUCCUGUAGAAUCAGGGCCAAAAUUUUGGGAAGAUACAUUUAUUUUUGACGUCAAAAUGGAAAUAGUUUGUGCAAGGAGCAGGCAUAAGCUUCUUUACUCAUUGCUUAAUCCGGAAAAAGUGCAUUCAGCUAUUUCAUGAGUGCCAUCUAGUAGAGAUGGCUUAUCAGUAUUGAAAAUGAACAUGCAAUCCCAUGCCUUCUCAACGCUAUCUGUUAUGUUUCAGGUUGUGCAUCCGCUGCUUAGUUCAACUUGCCUCCACCACACCUCCCAGGCCAUUUUCUUGUGCCCUCUCUUGGAUUCUCUCUCAGAUCCAUGCAAAUACAAAAUACUAGAAGCUGCCUUGAUUUAUUCAUUCCUUCACUUCAUAAACCAUAUCUUUCCUCCAACGUUUCUACCAUGUUGGCCUAUUGAAACUAGUAUCCCACUACAUAAUCUGAUACCUUGUUGUCUUGUAAAGGCUGGGCAAUGAAAUUUUGUAUUGUCUGAAUUGUACACUAACAGAUUAACUGUUGUAAAGUCAUGGUUCAAAUUUCUUGAUGUUGUUGGGUUCUGUUAUCUGAAUAUUAUGUGUUGAACAUGAUCCUACUUGGUUUGUCCUGCUUUUAAAUUGCGUGUUCUGAACCAUCUGAAACUAAUAAUGCUAGUUUGUACUAAGGUUUUGUGUUUGAUUUAGAAGCCAGGUAAUGAAAACUAUGUAUCCUCUAAAAAAGUACUGUAUGUUCCGUGUUCUAAAGCCUGUGUGAUUGAUAGU